AGUGAACGCUGGCGGUAGGCCUAACACAUGCAAGUCGAACGGCAGCACAGUAAGAGCUUGCUCUUACGGGUGGCGAGUGGCGGACGGGUGAGGAAUACAUCGGAAUCUACUUUUUCGUGGGGGAUAACGUAGGGAAACUUACGCUAAUACCGCAUACGACCUACGGGUGAAAGCAGGGGAUCUUCGGACCUUGCGCGAUUGAAUGAGCCGAUGUCGGAUUAGCUAGUUGGCGGGGUAAAGGCCCACCAAGGCGACGAUCCGUAGCUGGUCUGAGAGGAUGAUCAGCCACACUGGAACUGAGACACGGUCCAGACUCCUACGGGAGGCAGCAGUGGGGAAUAUUGGACAAUGGGCGCAAGCCUGAUCCAGCCAUACCGCGGGGGUGAAGAAGGCCUUCGGGUUGUAAGGCCCUUUUGUUGGGAAAGAAAAGCAGCAGGUUAAUACCCCGCUGUUCUGACGGUACCCAAAGAAUAAGCACCGGCUAACUUCGU
rnacentral:rRNA from 1 species